rnacentral:misc_RNA from 1 species
AGUCGUAACAAGGUUUCCGUAGGUGAACCUGCGGAAGGAUCAUUACAGAAUGAAAAGUGCUUAACUGCAUUUUUUCUUACACAUGUGUUUUUCUUUUUUUGAAAACUUUGCUUUGGUAGGCCUUCUAUAUGGGGCCUGCCAGAGAUUAAACUCAACCAAAUUUUAUUUAAUGUCAACCGAUUAUUUAAUAGUCAAAACUUUCAACAACGGAUCUCUUGGUUCUCGCAUCGAUGAAGAACGCAGCGAAAUGCGAUAAGUAAUAUGAAUUGCAGAUAUUCGUGAAUCAUCGAAUCUUUGAACGCACAUUGCGCCCUUUGGUAUUCCAAAGGGCAUGCCUGUUUGAGCGUCAUUUCUCCCUCAAACCCUCGGGUUUGGUGUUGAGCGAUACGCUGGGUUUGCUUGAAAGAAAGGCGGAGUAUAAACUAAUGGAUAGGUUUUUUCCACUCAUUGGUACAAACUCCAAAACUUCUUCCAAAUUCGACCUCAAAUCAGGUAGGACUACCCGCUGAACUUAAGCAUAUCAAUAAGC